rnacentral:rRNA from 1 species
GGCUCAGGAUGAACGCUGGCGGCGUGCUUAACACAUGCAAGUCGAACGGAGACAACCCACCGAGUGAAGCCUUAGCUUGCUUUGGCCGAUCUCACCGGGUUAUCUUAGUGGCGGACGGGUGAGUAACGCGUGGAUAACCUGCCUGUAUCUGGGGGAUAACAGUUAGAAAUGACUGCUAAUACCGCAUAAGCGCACGGCACCGCAUGGUACUGUGUGAAAAACUCCGGUGGAUACAGAUGGAUCCGCGUUAGAUUAGCCAGUUGGCGGGGUAACGGCCCACCAAAGCGACGAUCUAUAGCCGGCCUGAGAGGGCGACCGGCCACAUUGGGACUGAGACACGGCCCAAACUCCUACGGGAGGCAGCAGUGGGGAAUAUUGCACAAUGGGGGAAACCCUGAUGCCAGCGACGCCGCGUGAGUGAAGAAGUAUUUCGGUAUGUAAAGCUCUAUCAGCAGGGAAGAAAUUGACGGUACCUGACUAAGAAGCCCCGGCUAACUACGUGCCAGCCGCCGC